rnacentral:rRNA from 1 species
CCUACGGGUGGCAGCAGUGAGGAAUAUUGGUCAAUGGGCGUAAGCCUGAACCAGCCAAGUCGCGUGAGGGAUGAAGAUUCUAUGGAUCGUAAACCUCUUUUAUAAGGGAAUAAAGUGCGGGACGUGUCCCGUUUUGUAUGUACCUUAUGAAUAAGGAUCGGCUAACUCCGUGCCAGCAGCCGCGGUAAUACGGAGGAUCCGAGCGUUAUCCGGAUUUAUUGGGUUUUAAGGGUGCGUAGGCGGCCUUUUAAGUCAGCGGUGAAAGUCUGUGGCUCAACCAUAGACGUGCCGUUGAAACUGGUGGGCUUGAGUAUGUUUGAGGCAGGCGGAAUGCGUGUGUUAGCGGUGACAUGCUUAUAGAUUACGCAGAACCCUAAUUGCGAAGGCAGCCUGCCAAGCCAUGACUGACGCUGAUGCACGAAAGCGUGGGGAUCAAACAGGAUUAGAUACCCGGGUAGUC